rnacentral:misc_RNA from 1 species
AAGUCGUAACAAGGUUUCCGUAGGUGAACCUGCGGAAGGAUCAUUAAUGAAUUUUAGGGGGUUGAUGCUGAUUCUUAACUGAAUAUGUGCUCGCCUCCGAUAAUCCUUAUCCAUACACCUGUGCACCUUUUGAGGGCUGAUGCUUAUUGGCCCUCUCUUUACACAAACCCCUUCUUCUAAUCUUGAACGUGAAUUGUGCCGUAAGGCCUUAAAUCAAAUACAACUUUUAACAACGGAUCUCUUGGCUCUC